CUGGCUGCUCUGCAUCCUGAUUGAGGUUCAGCACGUCUAUAUCCAAAGGAAAGCAUAUCACGGCUAAAACAAAUAUCAGCCUGCAUUUGCAGCAAAUUGGAGUUCUGGCCCACAAAGAUGGGUCUGGGAGUAUAUGCAGUGGAGAUUGUGUUUUGCCUCUUGAUCUAAUUGGCAGAGUCUAUCACACUUGAUAAGCCACAAAAGAUGCCCAUUUUUGUCUAUAAAAUUUCCACAACAGCUAUUUACUACUGUAGCAGUCAAAUUAAGGGCCAGCGGCUGGAAACUUAAUUGUGUCUAUAGAAUUCUCAUCGAGGGGUCCAGAAAGAACAAAUAUUAUUUGAUGAACUCCUGUCUAACACUGCCAUAGAGAAGUUUAAGAGCACUCGUGGAGAUUUUCAGCACAAAGGGAAUGGAGCAGCUCAGUACCUCAGUACUGCCCACGUAUCAGCAGGAGGAACAGAUAGAGCACUGGAGAAGCAUUCUUCCUGUUCAGAAAGUCCUGAUA